rnacentral:rRNA from 1 species
AUACGGAGGAUCCGAGCGUUAUCCGGAUUUAUUGGGUUUAAAGGGUGCGCAGGCGGCCAUUUAAGUCAGCGGUUAAAUCGUGGGGCUCAACCCCAUUCUGCCGUUGAUACUGGGUGGCUUGAUUGCGGUCGAGGUUGGCGGAAUUCGUUGUGUAGCGGUGAAAUGCAUAGAUAUGACGAAGAACACCGAUUGCGUAGGCAGCUGACCAGACCGCAAAUGACGCUCAUGCACGAAAGUGCGGGGAUCGAACAGGAUUAGAUACCCUGGUAGUCCGCACAGUAAACGAUGAAUACUUGUUUUCGGCGAUAUAAUGUCGGAGGCAAAGCGAAAGCGUUAAGUAUUCCACCUGGGGAGUACGCCGGCAACGGUGAAACUUAAAUGAAUUGGCGGGG